rnacentral:rRNA from 1 species
GGAGAAAAGGCAGGGGAUCGAAAGACCUUGCGGCUAAAGGAGCGGCUGAUGUCUGAUUAGCUAGUUGGUGGGGUAAGGGCUUACCAAGGCAACGAUCAGUAGCUGGUCUGAGAGGACGACCAGCCACACUGGGACUGAGACACGGCCCAGACUCCUACGGGAGGCAGCAGUGGGGAAUUUUGGACAAUGGGCGAAAGCCUGAUCCAGCCAUGCCGCGUGAGUGAAGAAGGCCUUCGGGUUGUAAAGCUCUUUUAGUCGGAAAGAAAGAGUCAUAGUAAAUAGCUAUGAUUUAUGACGGUACCGACAGAAAAAGCACCGGCUAACUACGUGCCAGCAGCCGCGGUAAUACGUAGGGUGCGAGCGUUAAUCGGAAUUACUGGGCGUAAAGGGUGCGCAGGCGGCCUUGUAAGUCAGAUGUGAAAGCCCCUGGGCUUAACCUGGGAAUUGCGUUUGAAAC